rnacentral:rRNA from 1 species
AACGAACGCUGGCAGCAGGCUUAACACAUGCAAGUCGAACGCCCCGCAAGGGGAGUGGCAGACGGGCGAGUAACGCGUGGGAAUCUACCUAGUUCUACGGAACAACAGUUGGAAACGACUGCUAAUACCGCAUACGCCCUACGGGGGAAAGAUUUAUCGGAAUGAGAUGAGCCCGCGUAAGAUUAGCUAGUUGGUGGGGUAAUGGCCUACCAAGGCGACGAUCUUUAGCUGGUCUGAGAGGAUGAUCAGCCACACUGGGACUGAGACACGGCCCAGACUCCCACGGGAGGCAGCAGUGGGGAAUAUUGGACAAUGGGCGCAAGCCUGAUCCAGCCAUGCCGCGUGAGUGAUGAAGGCCUUAGGGUUGUAAAGCUCUUUCACCGAUGAAGAUAAUGACGGUAGUCGGAGAAGAAGCCCCGGCUAACUUCGUGCCAGCCGCCGCCGUAAAAC